CACCUUUGGCAAUGGACAAAGAGACACCUUGGUGAUGGUGUUCUUAUAGCUGCCAGGGGCAGAGCAGAUGGCCGUUCUUUGUUCAUCCUAGCUCGAUGCCUCACUUGAUAGCCAAAGUUGUUUUAUGCCUGGGACACAUAA